UUGCUUUUUCUAAUGCUGGCUUACAGAAUUCUGCUCAGCUGUGGGUGCUUGAGGUUUUUGUGUUGAUGAUCAUAGAUUGAUUCAUUCAUUCUGGGCCAUUUUCAAGGCUGUGCCUCUCUAUCAAAACUGUCAAAUAUAUUUGUGUCUUGAGGGAUCUCCAUCACUCUGAGAGCUUUUUCUUUUUUUUUUUUCUUUAUUCAAGCAGAAUAUCUGAAAGGGAAAAGGAUGUUGAAAGCUGAGAAAGAAAAUAAAAGAUUUAAAAAGAAGCAGCAUACCCACAGGCUAUCUCUGACUAAUAAGAAUUCAAGCAGCUGUGCUUUUUUUCAACUUGAAAACUGGAGCUUUUAGGUUGGACUUGAUGAUCUCAGAGGUCUUUUCCAAUCUUCUAUCUCUUCAAAAGUGUUGAUACGGAGCCACAGCAUUUGGGGUUAAUGAUAGAUGAUGUGUUUAAGUGUCUCUGAAAAAGAAAUUCACAGAAAACAUCUGAAGAGCUGUGCUUCUUCAGGAGUAUAUAUAAAUAAGGAACAACUCCAUCUCCACCCAAAGACAGCAACUAGUGUUAUGAAUUGAAGAAGAUCUGGGCCUUUAAGAAGAGCAUCUCACUCAUGAAGGCCUGAAAACCCAGUAUAUUGGCAGCAGAUGGGAGAUAAAACAAUUCUUGCCAAUUACUUGUGCUACACCACGCUGGGAGAGAUGCUGUUAUGUAAGUGUCUCAAACUGGGGAGGUCACAUGAAUAAGAACAGAGUCAUCCAUGAUGCUUUCAGCUUCUUGAAACAAAGGACUUGAAUUAAGAUUGCUCUAGCACUUCCCUCCUUCCUCCCUUUCCUUUUUUGUGCCAAGCUUCAUUAGCUCUGUGGUUUUGUUUCAUUUGGUUUUAAUGCUUAUAUAGAACCAGAAACAUUUUCAGACUUUUCAUGAAAAAUGUGCAAGAAAUACUGACAAUGCAGAGAAACUCUUUUAGUCAGUGCAGAAUUGCCAGAACUUGCCAAGAAUAGUGAUGUCUUGUGGAAAAGUUUGUCUCUUAAUU
rnacentral:lncRNA from 1 species